rnacentral:lncRNA from 1 species
AUCACCUUCACCACCACCUCCAUCACCUGUGUUUACUCCGCAAUCACCACCACCACCGGUCUACUCCCCACCGCCUCCUGUUUACUCUCCACCUCCCCCUCCACCUUCACCUCCACCCCCACCACCUGUUUAUUCUCCACCUCCCCCUCCACCCUCACCUCCACCACCAAUUUAUUCACCUCCACCACCCCCGCCCUCACCUCCACCUCCUUCACCACCGCCACCUCCUCCACCAGUUUAUUCCCCACCACCUCCACCACCAUCCCCACCCCCACCAUCACCUCCCCCACCUCCGCCACCACCACCACCUACUUAUCCGUCACCCCCACCCCCUUCACCAACUUCAUCACCUCCAUAUUGCGUGAGGUCCCCACCUCCUCCGCCACCAAAUUCACCACCUCCACCACCUCCAUUGUUUUCCCCACCACCACCAGUUCCUUACUACUAUAGCUCCCCACCACCGCCCCAUUAUUCACCGCCACCACCACUACACUCUCCACCACCACCGCCACAUUCACCUCCACCACCAAUUUAUCCAUACUUAUCGCCGCCGCCAC